rnacentral:rRNA from 1 species
GAGGAAUUUUGGACAAUGGGGGAAACCCUGAUCCAGCGACGCCGCGUGAGGGAUGAAGGUCUUCGGAUUGUAAACCUCUUUUAUUGGGGAAUAAGAAAUCUAUGGAAACAUAGGGAGUGAAUGUACCCGAUGAAUAAGCCACGGCUAACUUCGUGCCAGCAGCCGCGGUAAUACGAAGGUGGCAAGCGUUACUCGGAAUUACUAGGCGUAAAGGGCAGGUAGGUGGUUUGAUAAGUCUGUUGUGAAAGCUCCCGGCUUAACUGGGAGAGGUCAACAGAAACUAUCAGGCUUGAGUAUGGGAGAGGGUACUGGAAUUCCUGGUGUAGCGGUGAAAUGCGCAGAGAUCAGGAGGAACACCUAUGGCGAAAGCAGGUACCUGGACCAUUACUGACACUCAGCUGCGAAAGCUAGGGGAGCAAAC